AGGAUUAGAUACCCUGGUAGUCCACGCCCUAAACGAUGUCUACUAGUUGUCGGGUCUUAAUUGACUUGGUAACGCAGCUAACGCGUGAAGUAGACCGCCUGGGGAGUACGGUCGCAAGAUUAAAACUCAAAGGAAUUGACGGGGACCCGCACAAGCGGUGGAUGAUGUGGAUUAAUUCGAUGCAACGCGAAAAACCUUACCUACCCUUGACAUGUACAGAAUCCCGAAGAGAUUUGGGAGUGUUCGAAAGAAAACUGUAACACAGGUGCUGCAUGGCUGUCGUCAGCUCGUGUCGUGAGAUGUUGGGUUAAGUCCCGCAACGAGCGCAACCCUUGUCAUUAGUUGCUACGAAAGGGCACUCUAAUGAGACUGCCGGUGACAAACCGGAGGAAGGUGGGGAUGACGUCAAGUCCUCAUGGCCCUUAUGGGUAGGGCUUCACACGUCAUACAAUGGUACAUACAGAGGGCCGCCAACCCGCGAGGGGGAGCUAAUCCCAGAAAGUGUAUCGUAGUCCGGAUUGUAGUCUGCAACUCGACUACAUGAAGUUGGAAUCGCUAGUAAUCGCGGAUCAGCAUGUCGCGGUGAAUACGUUCCCGGGUCUUGUACACACCGCCCGUCACACCAUGGGAGCGGGUUUUACCAGAAGUAG
rnacentral:rRNA from 2 species